rnacentral:rRNA from 1 species
UACGGAGGGAGCUAGCGUUGUUCGGAAUUACUGGGCGUAAAGCGCACGUAGGCGGCUUUGUAAGUUAGAGGUGAAAGCCCGGAGCUCAACUCCGGAACUGCCUUUAAAACUGCAUCGCUUGAAUCCAGGAGAGGUGAGUGGAAUUCCGAGUGUAGAGGUGAAAUUCGUAGAUAUUCGGAAGAACACCAGUGGCGAAGGCGGCUCACUGGACUGGUAUUGACGCUGAGGUGCGAAAGCGUGGGGAGCAA